GACGAACGCUGGCGGCGUGCUUAACACAUGCAAGUCGAACGGAAAGGCCCUGCUUUUGUGGGGUGCUCGAGUGGCGAACGGGUGAGUAACACGUGAGUAACCUGCCCUUGACUUUGGGAUAACUUCAGGAAACUGGGGCUAAUACCGGAUAUGAUCUCCUGCUGCAUGGUGGGGGUUGGAAAGUUUCGGCGGUUGGGGAUGGACUCGCGGCUUAUCAGCUUGUUGGUGGGGUAGUGGCUUACCAAGGCUUUGACGGGUAGCCGGCCUGAGAGGGUGACCGGCCACAUUGGGACUGAGAUACGGCCCAGACUCCUACGGGAGGCAGCAGUGGGGAAUAUUGCACAAUGGGCGGAAGCCUGAUGCAGCAACGCCGCGUGCGGGAUGACGGCCUUCGGGUUGUAAACCGCUUUCGCCUGUGACGAAGCGUGAGUGACGGCAAUGGGUAAAGAAGCACCGGCUAACUACGUG
rnacentral:rRNA from 1 species